rnacentral:rRNA from 1 species
UACGAAGGGGGCUAGCGUUGUUCGGAAUUACUGGGCGUAAAGCGCACGUAGGCGGAUACUUAAGUCAGGGGUGAAAUCCCGGGGCUCAACCCCGGAACUGCCUUUGAUACUGGGUAUCUCGAGUCCGGAAGAGGUGAGUGGAAUUCCGAGUGUAGAGGUGAAAUUCGUAGAUAUUCGGAAGAACACCAGUGGCGAAGGCGGCUCACUGGCCCGGUACUGACGCUGAGAUACGAAAGCGUGGGGAGCAAACAGG